UCCCCAAAUUCCCAAUCUCAUAGCCUAACUCUUCUCUUCUCCACGCAAAUCUCUACCUAUUUCCCCAAAUUCCCAAUCUCAUAACCUUACCUACCUCUUCUCUUCUCCUCUCCACGCAAAUCCCUCCCUGUUUCUCCAAAUUCCCAAUUUCUUCUCCACGCAAAUCCCUAGCGAUUACCCUAAUAGAAGAAGUUUCAGUUGGUGCUCAUUUGAUGGAUUGAUGAAUCACGUCAGACUUGAAUAUUUGAACGAAAAAUCAAAGGUUCUUUCAGAGAUGGAAACGAAGGAGUGGUAUCAGAGAUGGAAGAGCUGCCCAAGACUAUCGUGCGCAGAGUGGUUAAGGAUAAGCUCAUGAGUGUUCACCCAUACCGACAUCACCGUCAACAAAGACUCCCUUCUCGCUUUCUCGGAAAGCGCCCCUAUCUUUAUCCACUACCUCUCCGCCACGGCUAAUGAUAUAU